GUCAUUCAAAACACGAAAGCAAGUGCUACAUUUAAAAACAAAACAUUGAAGCAGUGGUUGAAUGGUUGCAACAGUAAAAGCUGUUGCGGCACAAAUGUCAUGCACCAAACCCGUCCUGGAGAACAUGCAGCUGGAACACUAGUGAUUGAAGAAUGAUUAGCGAGGAUGUGAAUAAGAUGAAACGAUUAAUUACGAUAUAUUACGGCUAAACUGAGGAGGAUAAAUAGAAUGCUGUUGCUGCCGCACUUUCUCCCUCAUUAUAACGUAUGAAAAUCCUGGCCGGUGAUGUUAACGAAUUGAAUGAGGGGGAUGCUUCGAAUGAUGAUGGUAUUACA